rnacentral:rRNA from 1 species
UACGGAGGAUGCAAGCGUUAUCCGGAAUGAUUGGGCGUAAAGCGUCCGCAGGUGGCUAUGUAAGUCCGCUGUUAAAGAGUGAGGCUCAACCUCAUAAAAGCAGUGGAAACUACAUGGCUAGAGUGCGUUCGGGGCAGAGGGAAUUCCUGGUGUAGCGGUGAAAUGCGUAGAGAUCAGGAAGAACACCGGUGGCGAAAGCGCUCUGCUAGGCCGCAACUGACACUGAGGGACGAAAGCUAGGGGAGCGAAUGGG